AUUGAACGCUGGCGGCAGGCCUAACACAUGCAAGUCGAGCGAGCGGCGGACGGGUGAGUAAUGUAUGGGGACUGCCCGAUAGAGGGGGAUAACUACUGGAAACGGUGGCCAAUACCGCAUACUAUCGGAUAACCCAUAUGGGAUUAGCUAGUUGGUGGGGUAAAGGCUCACCUAGGAGACGAUCUCUAGCUGGUCUGAGAGGAUGAUCCGCCACACUGGGACUGAGACACGGCCCAGACUCGUACGGAGGCAGAAGUGGGGAAUAUUGCACAAGGGGCGCAAGCCUGAUGCAGCCAUGCCGCGUGUAUGAGGAAGGCCUUAGGGUUGUAAAGUACUUUCAGCGGGGAGGCGUUACCCGAAGAAAAAGCACCGGCUAACUCCGUGCCAGCAGCCGCGGUAAUUC
rnacentral:rRNA from 1 species